rnacentral:lncRNA from 1 species
GAUGAUCCUCCCUGAGAAGGUGAAAUGAGAGAAAGACUUAAAGGAGGUGAGGGAGUUUGCUAAGUGGAUAUCCAAGAAGAAUAUCCCAGGUAGAGGGAACAGAAAGAGCAAAGGCUUUCAGGUGUAAGUGAUAAUGGGGAGAUGGAAGGUAAAGGGCCUUGGUGAGGAUUCUGGGAAAUGUUGGAGGGAUGUGAGUAGAGGAAAGCCAUGAUCUGGCUUUUUCCUAGGAAACCCUCAUCCCAGCUGCUGUGUUGAGAGCAGACCUCAGAGGAGCAAGUGAGAAGCCCUCUCAGCAGGUCAUUGCAACAAACCAGCUAUCCAGUUCAUAGUCGUGAGUGCCUCUGGUUGUGCUGUGUGGGAUGCCACCUCAGCACGGCUUGAUGAGUGGUGCCAUGUUGCACCCAGGAUCCGAACUGGCGAAACCCUGGGCCGCUGAAACGGAGUGCGUGAACUUAACCACUCGUCCAGGGGGCCGGCCCCAGAGCGCAGCCCUGUCUUCAAACUGGAAGGAAGCCCAAUGUACAAAAUCCACACACCUGGGCUCUUUGGCUCAAGUAAGAGCAGCAGGAGCCCCUCACGUCCCAGAGCCGCUCAAGAAGCCCCCAGGAGCACGGUGUUUGCAUGUAUAUACGUGCCUGUAAGACCAGAUGCAAAGGUGUAGAAAGGACUGAAAUAAAAGGAAGUCCUGCCAAAUAUGAAUACUGUAUCUUCGGUGGAUAAGAUUAUAGGGUCCUCAGAAGUUGAGAGUUCCCUGGUCACAACCAGUCCUCCCCACUGUUCCCAAAGGCGUGUUCCCGGGAUGCUGACCACGAGGUGGCAGCAGAACAUAAGCCAUCUCCAUCAGAGCGCUGGCAGAGACCCUGCAGUUGGCAAUCAUGGAGUCAUCGCCACGUUUUUGAUUGUGUAUCCUGAUCAGCACAGUAACGUAUUAUGUACAUUAUAAAAUAUACCACCAGACAGAAUUAAAAGAUGACGUAGAGAUGAAGUAAAUCACUCACUUUGAUGUCUUCAUUCCAUUAGCUAACAUCUUACGGCAGCAGACUAUGUGGCAGAUUGGCUGGUACAAUGAAUAGUGCCAUUUCCUUGUUGUUUGCGAGAAUUAGUUUGAACCAUAUUAAACUGCUGUUUUUUUAUGUAAAUACUGAGCAAAAAUUGUAAGGUUCAUGUGGUUUAACCUAUAGCUGCAUUAUUUGCGUUAUCUUCAGCUGCAUUUUCUUUGGCAGAUUUUUUUUAACUACUUGUCUAUUUUGGAAGAUUUGAUGACCUAGUUAAUAUAACAUAUCCAUCUACUAACUAGGUUCCUGACUGGAAUAUGUCACCAUACAUUCAAGGCUGCGGGGCCUCCACGUUGUGGAGCUCUCGCUCCUCCCUCAGGAUUCCUCCAGUAGCUUAUGUGACGGCAUACCCUCUGACAGCCCCCGGAUGAGGGUCUGGUAUCAACCCAGAUUAGUG